UUAACAUAGCUUCACAGAACUACUUGACAAGUUAAUGUAGCUUCACAGACCUACUAGACUAGCUAACGCAGCUUCAUAGACCUAUUUGACAAAUUAACAUAGCUUCACAGACCUACUUGACAAGUUAAUGUAGCUUCACAGACCUACUAGACGAGCUAACGUAGCUUCACAGACCUACUAAGCGAGCUAACGUAGCUUCACAGACCUAAUUGACAAGUUAACAUAGCUUCACAGACCUACUAGACUAGCUAACGCAGCUUCAUAGACCUAUUUGACAAGUUAACAUAGCUUCACAGACCUACUUGACAAGUUAAUGUAGCUUCACAGACCUACUAGACAAGCUAACGUAGCUUCACAGACCUACUAGGCGAGCUAACGUAGCUUCACAGACCUACUAGGCAAGCUAACGUAGCUUCACAGACCUACUAGGCGAGCUAACGUAGCUUCACAGACCUACUUGACAAGCUAACGUAGCUUCACAGACCUACAGGAUGAGCUAUUGCAGCUUAGCAGACUUGCAGACAAUCCCAAUAGAUGAAAACAAAAAUAAACAAUAUUAAUUAAGUGUUCAGCCCAAAUCAAUACUCUGAUUAAACUUCUGAAGGUUUCGGAUCUUUUGGCUAAUUCAUACAAACGUAAUCAUCUGGUUGAGUACAAAAGUAAUAAUCAUAAAAAAAACCUUUUCAUUUUGUGUUUUUUCAAUAGCAGAUGGACUUUUAUUUCUGUAAAUCUGCCAAAGACUAUUGAUUCACUUUUCUAUAAGAUGGAAAGUCAUACAGCAGCUACUGUGGUCAUCGUGACCACGCCCAUCUCUGCCAUAGGAGGCGGAACUAUGAGAGGAGGAGGAGUCUGGUCUAUUUCUCUUUUUUCUAUACUGUGUUUUUGUUGUCAAUAAAAUAAAAACGAAUGUUAAACGCAAAACAAAAAUGAACCAAUCAAAAAUGGCCUUUUCCCCACUGGUGCUGAAUUUUAUGUCAUUGACUGACGUGUUUUCUGGGAAACAGCGACGCCACGUGGUCCUGAGGACUUUUCUUUAUUUCUCUUCAUCUUCACGAUCUCCGCUGAUGGAGGACAAGUGUGUCUCCUUGGACAAACAAGGGCAUGCUGGGAAAUGCAGUAUGUGUAAACGAAAGCACUGUGAUGGAGGGUGGGUUGGAAAACUGACUUUGCUUCUUGUUUAUCGGUACAAAAACAGCAAACGUUUUUUCUUUGAUGUUCGUGCCAUUUUGUCAGUUUUAAAAAAACGCAGGGGAAAAUUCAUAUGAGAUAUGAAUUCAUGAAGGAUUCAGAUGUUUGUUGUUAUUGUUGCUGCUGUUGUCGUUGUUUCCUCUUAUGUUCCUGCUUGCAUCACAAUAAAUUCUUGUACUUGUAGUCCUGUUCUUUUGGGUCGUGUGGGUUUUAAGUUUUUCUCAUUACCCGCCUCAUUUUUCUGUGUAUAGAAUCAGUUUUUUGUGGCGUAUGAAAUGUUAUUAAAGCAGCUGGAGGAGAGAAAAAGUACCGGAACCCGUUCUGAUGCUGGUUUUGUGAGAGGGGGUGAGACCUCCACGAUGUCCUUCUUUUACAGUGUCUAUGAGAAGAUUUUUUUUUUACAUAGAAAUGUCUGCAUAUUGUAUUCUCUAAAAGACGAAAAAACAAAUCUGUUUUUCUAUAUUUUCUUAUUGGAUGCUUAUAAAGUCCUGUUGAAUAUUGCAAUUAUCCGAUUGGCUAGAGAGCUUACGCGGGGUCGGAGGUCAUCAGGCCUCUUCAGGACUUUAUUUUUCUGCGCUGCAUGAGCUGGAAGAAUAAAAAUUUAAAAUACAUUUACUGAAUUUACUUUUACGACAAGAGAAAAUGUUAAAAAGUGUAUCAAUCUGUGUCUGAUAAGGUCACCAAUAAAAAUAUGUUCCACU
ensembl:lncRNA